UGAGUUUCGGGGCAAGGAGGCCAAGCGGACAUCGAGAGUGAGAAAGACGACGGGGCCGACGGAGGGAGGCUGCAGAAAACCAAACGCCUGCUCCAAAAGGGAAAGGGAUCGCGCAGCACCGCAGGCCGGGGCUCUGAGAGGGAGACGAACGCCAUCACUAGCCGGGGCGGCGGCGGCGGCGGUUUUUCCAUCCGCUUCAUGGUGCCGCACAAACGCUGACAGCGCAAGUUCUGCAAAAGCAAACAAAAAGCAUGUUAGGAGCUUGAAACAGAAGGGAUUAGCCUCCAUAAUGCUAUGAUAGAAGCAAUGAGGUGAUACUACAAGUUAACAUAGAGAGAGCCGUCCCUUUCCAACUCGCGGCCACACCGCCGCAAGAGCACGCCAUCGGAAGCCUGACCGGUUACGAGGAUGGCGGCGGUAAGGCUAUCUUCUACCUGGCAUUUCUUUCUUCCCCUGAUUAAGCUAUCGUCUAUGGUGUCGCAGUCGUUGAUCCGUCUCUGCCAGAUCGGCUCGCGGCAGCAUCUGUGAUGUCGUCUCUUUCUUCUCUCACCACGGAUCCGAUUGCAAGAUGGCCGGAUCUAUGAGCUACUACUUCGAUCCGCAAGGUGCUAGCUGAUCCCAAUCAGAUCCCAUGUCGACAACGGUGUUUAGGCCCACCGAAGAGAUGUGGCGGGUCGCCCCGACGCCAUCACAAGGCCCACCAAACUGAUACGGUGGGUCGUUUCAGCGCCAUCACACAACCGCUGCCUCCUUGCUUGAUCCGGCCAUUGGUGUGGGGCGCUGGCGAGCGGGUGGCGGGUCGGUGCGGCGUCCUCAAAGACGUUCAGGAUCUUGGCAUGUCGGUUGGAACGGUGCGGCUCAAAUGUGCCGGUUUUGGCUGUGGCUGGUUUUGCUUGUCUCUACACAGCAUCGACGACGCCUCCUAAUUUGCUCGAGUGGCUAUCAGCGGUGAUCUGUUGCAUGGCCAUGCGUUGGCGCCUCGGUUUCGGUGGUGGUGCUCCAAUUCGUUGGAGCUUCUUUGGAAAGAAGAUGCUCAACUGCUCAUGGGAAGGACAGGCAGUUCUAGUUGGUCGCGUCGUUCGUCACCGUUCGUGAUUGCGCCAACAGCUGACCGAUCGAUGGACGAUCGGUGGACUUUAAAGACAUGUGAGAUGCUUUAGAUGUUAUGUUCAUCAUCUUCCUUUUGCGGGAGGACAAUGGAGUUAUUGGAGCUUGAUCCAAUCACUUUGUGGUGAAAGAUAACAGGUGUCGUUGCUGCACAUUAGUUCUUUGUUGUUGAAGUGUGGUUUUGUAUGGUGGUUUUUAGUUGUAGGUUGGAUUCAAGACUUUGUGCUGCUUUGUGCACAUAGAAUUUUAGUCUUUUUUCCUUUCUUGC